rnacentral:miRNA from 1 species
CUCCAUCCCAUCUUCUUUCGGA